AUUGAACGCUGGCGGCAGGCCUAACACAUGCAAGUCGAGCGAGCGGCGGACGGGUGAGUAAUGUCUGGGAAACUGCCUGAUGGAGGGGGAUAACUACUGGAAACGGUAGCUAAUACCGCAUACCAUCAGAUGUGCCCAGAUGGGAUUAGCUAGUAGGUGGGGGAACGGCUCACUUAGGCGACGAUCCCUAGCUGGUCUGAGAGGAUGACCAGCAACAGUGGAACUGAGACACGGCCCAGACUCGUACGGGAGGCAGCAGUGGGGAAUAUUUCACAAUGGGCGCAAGCCUGAUGCAGCCAAGCCGCGUGUAUGAAGAAGGCCUUCGGGUUGGAAAGUACUUUCAGCGGGGAGGCGUUACCCGCAGAAGAAGCACCGGCUAACUCCGGGCCAGCAGCCGCGGUAAUAC
rnacentral:rRNA from 1 species